rnacentral:lncRNA from 1 species
CGAAGGCCUCACUGACGCAUGAGCUCAUCCAGCUGAUGGCAGGUUCUCUCCCCCAGCCAGACAUGGCGGGUUUCCAGGCCGAAGAGCUCCCAGGUCCCCCUCCGCUGUUACUCCACACCAACAGCUUCAUCCUGACAACUGCGGUGGCCAGUGAAGACCCGGUCCGGUUGUCGUGGAGCCUCUCCUUCCCCGAGAGCAGAACCGCCG